GUGGCGAGCGAACAGGAGACUACAUGGCUUCCCGUCCGCUCAGCCAUAUUUAAGCAGCGCACCGGCGGAUCAGUAGUCACGUGGGGGACCACUGGCGAAUCCCCGCUGUUGUAUGUU
rnacentral:rRNA from 2 species